AGUAGGAGUCGGAGGGUGACUGGGAGACCAACCUUUGGCGCAACUGCUCGGGCCCAGCCAGUUACCAGGGCCAGCAUCGCCUCCAGGUCCCCCAGUGUCUGUGCGGAGAGGGUCUGUCAGCAGCUCAAAUGCCUUUCACACUGAUGGAAACCUGGCCCCUUAGCUGGACAGAGUCCAGUGUCCAGGAGUGACUGGGCUGGCAAGGGGCUCCUCCAAAGGUGGAUUCUUUACCAGCUGAGCCACAAGGGUAGCCUACUCCAGCAGAUCCCUUCUCUAGCAAAUCUUCCCAACCUGGGAAUUGAACUGGUCUCUCCUGCAUUGCAGGCAGAUUCUUUACCAGCUGACCUACCAG
ensembl:lncRNA